UGUUAAAAAUUUUAUUCAUUUCUACCGUUAAAAACCAGCAUGACUGACAGAAUAAUCAAAUAUUUACACGUUGCGUGUCACGUGUACCUCUUUUUGAUAUAUAAGGAUCAAUUCUUUUUUGAUAGAAACAAGGACCGAUUCUUAACCGUAGAAGUAGGGAAUUUUUAACA
rfam:Gossypium hirsutum cultivar TM-1 chromosome 19, whole genome shotgun sequence